rnacentral:rRNA from 1 species
UUCCUACGGGGGGCAGCAGUAGGGAAUCUUCCACAAUGGGCGAAAGCCUGAUGGAGCAACGCCGCGUGGGUGAAGAAGGUCUUCGGAUCGUAAAACCCUGUUGUUAGAGAAGAAAGUGCGUGAGAGUAACUGUUCACGUUUCGACGGUAUCUAACCAGAAAGCCACGGCUAACUACGUGCCAGCAGCCGCGGUAAUACGUAGGUGGCAAGCGUUAUCCGGAUUUAUUGGGUUUAAAGGGUGCGUAGGCGGACUGUUAAGUCAGCGGUAAAAGCCCGGGGCUCAACCCCGGCGAGCCGUUGAAACU